rnacentral:lncRNA from 1 species
UUUUUUGCACAAGGAAUCGACUUUUGGACCAAGAGCAUCAGGAAUCGACUUUUUGACAAAAGUUGACCAAACUCAACAAGGGAUCGACAUUUCGCAAAAGUCGAGCAAACCCAACAAGGGAUCGACAUUUAGCUAAAGUCGAGCAAAAUCAACAAGGGAUCGACUUUUUCUUCCCACAUAAAAGGGGCACAGAAAAAAGAACCCAGACAAGUUGGAAUUGCGAAAGCACACCAAGACAGGAGGGUGUAACACGAAAUACUCCUAAGGAAUCGUGAAAGUCCACAACUCGGACGGUGAUACGGCAGCAAAAUGAGCUGAGCCAU